rnacentral:rRNA from 1 species
GAGUUUGAUCGUGGCUCAGGAUGAACGCUGGCGGCGUGCCUAACACAUGCAAGUCGAACGGGAACCCUUGGAUUCGUCUGGGGGGAGAGUGGCAAACGGGUGAGUAACACGUUGGUGACCUGCCCCAAAGAGGGGAAUAACCACUGGAAACGGUGGCUAAUACCCCAUGUGGUCUGUCGGUCGGACGGCAGAUUAAAGCGCCCCAUUAGGGGUUGCGCUUUGGGAGGGGCCGUGCGGCCCAUCAGGUAGUUGGUAGGGUAAUGGCCUACCAAGCCGAUGACGGGUAGGGGGCGGUGAGAGCGUGAUCCCCCACACUGGCACUGAGACACGGGCCAGACUCCUACGGGAGGCAGCAGUGAGGAAUAUUGCCCAAUGGACGCAAGUCUGAGGCAGCAACGCCGCGUGGGUGAUGAAGGCCUUCGGUUGUAAACCCUUUCUGGGGACGAGAAGGACGGUACCUCAGGAAUAAGUCACGGCGUAACUACGUGCCAGCAGCCGCCGCGGUAA